rnacentral:rRNA from 1 species
CCUACGGGAGGCAGCAGUGGGGAAUAUUGCGCAAUGGGCGAAAGCCUGACGCAGCGACGCCGCGUGAGGGAUGAAGGUCUUCGGAUCGUAAACCUCUGUCAGCAGGGAAGAACGGUCACUGUGCUAAUCAGCAGUGAAUUGACGGUACCUGCAAAGUAAGCACCGGCUAACUCCGUGCCAGCAGCCGCGGUAAUACGGAGGGUGCGAGCGUUAAUCGGAAUUAGUGGGCGUAAAGCGCUCGUAGGCGGUAUGGCAAGUUAAGGGUGAAGGCCCCGCGCUCAACGUGGGAACUGCCUUUGAAACUGGCAAACUGGAGUGUGUGAGAGGAUAGUGGAAGUCCAGGUGUAGGAGUGAAAUCCGUAGAUAUCAGGAGGAACAUCAGUUGCGAAGGCGACUAUCUGGCACAUAACUGACGCUGAGGAGCGAAAGCGUGGGUAGCAAACAGGAUUAGAUACCCCUGUAGUC